UGAGGAAUAUUGGUCAAUGGGCGCAAGCCUGAACCAGCCAUCCCGCGUGCAGGAAGAAGGCGCUAUGCGUUGUAAACUGCUUUUCCAGGGGGCGAACGUUUCGUACGUGUACGGGAGUGACGGUACCUUGGGAAUAAGCAUCGGCUAACUCCGUGCCAGCAGCCGCGGUAAUACGGAGGAUGCGAGCGUUAUCCGGAUUUAUUGGGUUUAAAGGGUGCGUAGGCGGAUUAAUAAGUCAGUGGUGAAAUCCUGCAGCUUAACUGUGGAAUUGCCGUUGAUACUGUUAGUCUUGAGUAUGGUCAAGGUAGGCGGAAUGUGUAAUGUAGCGGUGAAAUGCUUGGAUAUUACACAGAACACCGAUUGCGAAGGCAGCUUACUGGGCCGUUACUGACGCUGAUGCACGAAAGCGUGGGGAUCGAACAG
rnacentral:rRNA from 1 species